rnacentral:rRNA from 1 species
UACGGGGGGGGCAAGCGUUGUUCGGAAUUACUGGGCGUAAAGGGCUCGUAGGUGGCCAACUAAGUCAGACGUGAAAUCCCUCGGCUUAACCGGGGAACUGCGUCUGAUACUGGAUGGCUUGAGAUUGGGAGAGGGAUGCGGAAUUCCAGGUGUAGCGGUGAAAUGCGUAGAUAUCCGGAAGAACACCGGUGGCGAAGGCGGUUAGCUGGGCAGUUGCUGACACUGAGGCGCGACAGCGUGGGGAGCAAACAGG